rnacentral:tRNA from 1 species
GGGCCGUUAGCUCAGUUGGUAGAGCGUUGCCUUUGCACGGCAAAGGUCAGCGGUUCGAUCCCGCUACGGUCCA